GAUGAACGCUGGCGGCGUGCCUAAUACAUGCAAGUCGAGCGAACAGACGAUGAGCUUGCUCCUCUGCCGUUAGCGGCGGACGGGUGAGUAACACGUGGAUCACCUACUUCUAAGACUGGGAUAACUUCGGGAAACCGCAGCCAAUACCGGAUAAUAUAUUGAACCGCAUGGUUCAAUAGUGAAAGACGGUUUUGCUGUCACUUAUAGAUGGAUCCGCGCCGGAUUAGCUAGUUGGUAAGGUAACGGCUUACCAAGGCAACGAUGCGUAGCCGACCUGAGAGGGUGAUCAGCCACACUGGAACUGAGACACGGUCCAGACUCCUACGGGAGGCAGCAGUAGGGAAUCUUGCACAAUGGGCGAAAGCCUGAUGGAGCAACGCCGCGUGAGUGAUGAAGGUCUUCGGGUCGUAAAGCUCUUUUAUUGGGGAAGAAAAGAAGUAGAUGAAACUAUGGAUGUUUUGACGGUACCCAAAGAGUAAGCCACGGCUAACUUCGUG
rnacentral:rRNA from 1 species